rnacentral:precursor_RNA from 1 species
GUUUGCGGGUCAUGGUGAUGACUUCCGCUACAGGCUGCUACGAUUCCGAGCACAAAUCAAUUGCAAGACGCAAGUGCUCCGUGAUUCCCCGUGAAGCAGUACAUAUAAGCAGCGCAGGGGCGGGAGGUUGAUACCGAGGACCUGGAUCGAAGGCAUCAUUGAGUGCAGCGUUGAUGAGAAUCCAGUUUCCCUGAUGAUUAGGAACAUGGGGGGUUUCACCAACGCUGCACCCAAUAAUGCCUUCGACGUCUUGGAAGAAAAUCGAAGCAGACAUGGAUGAUGCUGCUCAUGCAACGAGGAGGAGGAAGUGACAGGCUCCUGCUUCCUACCUCUCUGGUUACUACGACUAGAGAUCUUUGCUUCCCGUUCCUCUUGCUGCUCUUGUUAGUCAUUUGCUCCUCAAGCAAAUGCUUUUGUUCUUGUUGCUUCGAGGCCU